AUACUUAUCUGGCAGGGGAGAUACCAUAAUCAUGAAGGCAGUUUUCCCAGGGCAAGACUUAUCCAUCACACUCUGGAUAUGCUGACCUCUGCUAUUUCAAAUGUGGGAGAUUCGACUGCAUAAUUUGUGGUAGUGGGAGACUGCAUUCACAUUCUCCCC